GUUUGAUCCUGGCUCAGAGCGAACGUUAGCGGCAGGCUUAACACAUGCAAGUCGAGCGAGAAAGGGGCUUCGGCUCCGAGUAAAAGCGGCGGACGGGUGCGUAACACGUGGAUAAUCUGCCUCGUGGCGGGGGACAACAGUCCGAAAGGACUGCUAAUACCGCAUGUCAGGUCGGAAACUCCGGUUUCUGACGAAAAAGAGGGCGUCCGCAAGGAGCUCUCACCACGAGAUGAGUCCGCGUCCCAUCAGCUAGUUGGCGGUGUAAUGGACCACCAAGGCUUAGACGGGUAGCUGGUCUGAGAGGAUGACCAGCCACACUGGGACUGAGACACGGCCCAGACUCCUACGGGAGGCAGCAGUGGGGAAUAUUGGACAAUGGGCGAAAGCCUGAUCCAGCCAUGCCGCGUGAGUGAUGAAGGCCUCGGUCGUAAG
rnacentral:rRNA from 1 species